CUUGUAUCCGUGGACCUGAUUGCAUACGCAGAAAAUUUCCGGAGUUCUCAGGUGUGAAUUCAAGUAGUUACCAAGGAUUAUCUUCCUACAGAUGCAUGAUGUGAUGUUGGGGUUCAACAUCUAGUGGAUUCGUUUGUUCAUGGUGUUCUUACAGCGGUUCUCGUUGUGUGUUAAAGAGUCCUUGUAUCUUGUUAUGACUCGGGGACGCUUCGUUGUCUUGUACACUGCUUGUACAUGAUGGCUACUCUAAGAUAGAGCCCGUGCGAACCUUACCACGAAAAGAUUGGACGAAGUCUCUAUCGUAAAUUUGUUCUCGCUUUUACUGUAAGCUUCAUCCUUUGUUUUGUUGGACUACGGUAAUUCGAGUUGUUCAAUGUCAAGUGAUGAUUUCAUAUCUUUCCUAAGUGGUGUUCUCAUAUUUCUAUGGGAGUGCUAAUUAUUUCUUUUGCUCAAUCAAGUUUUCUUAUCAGUUCUUUUCAAAUC
rnacentral:lncRNA from 1 species